AGAGUUUGAUCCUGGCUCAGGAUGAACGCUGGCGGCGUGCCUAAUACAUGCAAGUCGAGCGAACGGACGAGAAGCUUGCUUCUCUGAUGUUAGCGGCGGACGGGUGAGUAACACGUGGAUAACCUACCUAUAAGACUGGGAUAACUUCGGGAAACCGGAGCUAAUACCGGAUAAUAUUUUGAACCGCAUGGUUCAAAAGUAAAAGACGGUCUUGCUGUCACUUAUAGAUGGAUCCGCGCUGCAUUAGCUAGUUGGUAAGGUAACGGCUUACCAAGGCAACGAUGCAUAGCCGACCUGAGAGGGUGAUCGGCCACACUGGAACUGAGACACGGUCCAGACUCCUACGGGAGGCAGCAGUAGGGAAUCUUCCGCAAUGGGCGAAAGCCUGACGGAGCAACGCCGCGUGAGUGAUGAAGGUCUUCGGAUCGUAAAACUCUGUUAUUAGGGAAGAACAUAUGUGUAAGUAACUGUGCACAUCUUGACGGUACCUAAUCAGAAAGCCACGGCUAACUACGUGCCAGCAGCCGCGGUAAUACGUAGGUGGCAAGCGUUAUCCGGAAUUAUUGGGCGUAAAGCGCGCGUAGGCGGUUUUUUAAGUCUGAUGUGAAAGCCCACGGCUCAACCGUGGAGGGUCAUUGGAAACUGGAAAACUUGAGUGCAGAAGAGGAAAGUGGAAUUCCAUGUGUAGCGGUGAAAUGCGCAGAGAUAUGGAGGAACACCAGUGGCGAAAGCGACUUUCUGGUCUGUAACUGACGCUGAUGUGCGAAAGCGUGGGGAUCAAACAGGAUUAGAUACU
rnacentral:rRNA from 1 species